rnacentral:rRNA from 1 species
CAUGUCUUUUUGAUUAUAAUUUAAAGUCUGACCUGCCCUAUGAUAGUAUAUAUUGAAUGGCCGCGAUAAUUUGAUCGUGCAAAGGUAGCAUAAUAAUUAGUUUUUUAAUUGGGAACUGGAAUGAAAGGUCGAACGAGAAAAAGACUGUCUCAAUUUAAGUUUAAUUAGAAUUUUAUUUUUAAGUUAAAAAGCUUAAAUAUUUUUAAAAGACGAGAAGACCCUAUAGAGUUUUAUAUUUUAGUAAUUUUUUAUUUAGUUUAAGAAUUUAAUUUUAGAAUUAAUUAUAAAAUAUUUGGUUGGGGUGAUUAAAAAAUUAAAUAAACUUUUUUUAUUUAUUAAACAUUGAUUUAUGAUUAAGUGAUCCAUUAUUAAUGAUUAUAAGAUUAAAUUACCUUAGGGAUAACAGCGUAAUUUUUUUUGAGAGUUCUUAUCGAAAAAAAAGUUU